CAGGCGCGAAAACUUUACAAUGCGGGAAACCGUGAUAAGGGAAUCUCGAGUGCCAGCAUAUAAUGUUGGCUGUCCAGAUGCCUAAAAAGCAUCUGUUAGCAAGGGCCGGGCAAGACCGGUGCCAGCCGCCGCGGUAACACCGGCGGCCCGAGUGGUAACCGCUUUUAUUGGGUCUAAAGGGUCUGUAGCCGGCCAAGUAAGACCCUUGGGAAAUCUGGCAGCUUAACUGUCAGGCUGCUAGGGGAUACUGCUAGGCUUGGGACCGGGAGAGGUGAGAGGUACCUUGGGGGUAGGGGUGAAAUCUUGUGAUCCUCGGGGGACCACCAGUGGCGAAGGCGUCUCACCAGAACGGGUCCGACGGUAAGGGACGAAAGCUAGGGGCACGAACCG
rnacentral:rRNA from 1 species